GUAGGGAAUCUUCGGCAAUGGACGAAAGUCUGACCGAGCAACGCCGCGUGAGUGAAGAAGGUUUUCGGAUCGUAAAACUCUGUUGGUAGAGAAGAACGUUGGUGAGAGUGGAAAGCUCAUCAAGUGACGGUAACUACCCAGAAAGGGACGGCUAACUACGUGCCAGCAGCCGCGGUAAUACGUAGGUCCCGAGCGUUGUCCGGAUUUAUUGGGCGUAAAGCGAGCGAAGGUGGUUUAUUAAGUCUGGUGUAAAAGGCAGUGGCUCAACCAUUGUAUGCAUUGGAAACUGGUAGACUUGAGUGCAGGAGAGGAGAGUGGAAUUCCAUGUGUAGCGGUGAAAUGCGUAGAUAUAUGGAGGAACACCGGUGGCGAAAGCGGCUCUCUGGCCUGUAACUGACACUGAGGCUCGAAAGCGUGGGGAGCAAACAGGAUUAGAAACCCUGGUAGUCC
rnacentral:rRNA from 1 species